UGGGGAAUUUUGGACAAUGGGGGCAACCCUGAUACAGCAAUGCCGCGUGUGUGAAGAAGGCCUUCGGGUUGUAAAGCACUUUUGUCCGGAAAGAAAACUUCGGGGCUAAUACUCCUGGAGGAUGACGGUACCGGAAGAAUAAGCACCGGCUAACUACGUGCCAGCAGCCGCGGUAAUACGUAGGGUGCGAGCGUUAAUCGGAAUUACUGGGCGUAAAGCGUGCGCAGGCGGUGCUGUAAGACCGAUGUGAAAUCCCCGGGCUUAACCUGGGAACUGCAUUGGUGGCUGGAGCGCUGGGGUAUGGCAGAGGGGGGUGGAAUUCCACGUGUAGCAGUGAAAUGCGUAGAGAUGUGGAAGAACGACGAUGGCGGAGGCAGCCUCGUGGGCCAAUACUGACGCUCAUGCACGAAGGCGUGGGUAGCAAACAGU
rnacentral:rRNA from 1 species